rnacentral:tRNA from 1 species
GGGCUCGUAGCUCAGUGGUAGAGCGCAUCGUUGACAUCGAUGAGGUCGGUGGUUCGAUCCCACCCGGGCCCACCA